rnacentral:lncRNA from 1 species
UCCUUCAUCAACGACAUCUUCGAGAAGCUCGCCGGCGAGGCCGCCAAGCUCGCCCGCUACAACAAGAAGCCCACCAUCACUUCCCGGGAGAUCCAGACCUCCGUCCGCCUCGUCCUCCCCGGCGAGCUCGCCAAGCACGCCGUCUCCGAGGGCACCAAGGCCGUCACCAAAUUCACCUCCUCUUAGAUUGCGCUGCCUGUAUCUGCAACUAGAAGUAGCGUUAGUGCUGGCUGGAAAUCGCUGAAUGAUUGCGAAUGCUUUGUUGGCUCGUUGGUUGUAAGAAGUGAAUUCAUGCUGCUUUUGGCAAACUAAGAUCUCGAAAGUAAUAUGAUCCAUUUCUGCUACCGCGUUACUAAUUUCUGCUGUGAUUUGAUUGUUAUUAGGUGGUUGCACCAAUCUGCCAUAAAAAUUUCCAGAUUGAUAACCUGCUAUCAUUAGAUUUUGUUUCUCAUUAGGUGCAGAACUAAGUAUAUUUGUGCCUUGUGCGUGCUACAAAAGGGAAUC